CAAGAAUCAUAGUCUCAAUCAUAGACUUAUAAAGUCAGACGGGACCAUCGUGAUUAUUUAGUCCGACCUCCUGUACACUGCAGGGCACAGAACCUCAUUCACUCCUGAAAUAGACCCCUAACCUCUGGCUGAUUUACUGAAGUCCUCGAAUCAUGGGUUAA